ensembl:lncRNA
AUGGCUGAGAAACACCUCAUCCCGAUGACUGUGGGGUUAAAUCCGUCACCAGUUGCAGCCCCUGGACAAGUGAUGGGCCCUGCUAUUUUUUUGUUUUCAGAUGAAAUCACCAAGACUUGCUCACAGAGACACAGCUGGAAAGUAGAAGCACCAGGAUUCAAACCCAGGCCAGUGGGAAGCCUGAGGCUCUUACCUACCCUCCCUUCAAUGCUGCCUCCCUUCAUACUGCACUGCUCCCUUCCCAAUGUCCCUACUUCUCCUGUCCUCAUUUCAACUGCUCAUCCAUCUUCCCAGACUUUUCUACAGACAUGCGGCAUUGCAGUACUGCUCUUGCUACAAAUGUCAGAUUUCCUUGGUCAGAUUUGCUUAGUGUGGGACUUUCUGCUGAGAUAUAUCAGAGAUGUUACGACUGCGAGAAAUGCAGGCAGAAGUUAUCUGCGAUCCAUCUGCCAUGCAAUGACAAGGGAUGCUUAAAGGCUGUCUGGAAGAACUGCCUUCUUUAGAAACCUGAGGGCCAGGCGCAGUGGCUCACGCCUGUAACCCCAGCAAUUUGGGAGGCCGAGGCAGGCAGAUCACAAGGUCAGGAGAUCGAGACCAUCCUGACAAACACGGUGAAACUCCGUCUCUACUAAAUAUACAAAAAAAAAAAAAAAAAAUUAGCUGGGCGUAGUGGUGGGUGCCUGUAGUCCCAGCUACUCUGGAGGCUGAGGCAGGAGAAUGGCGUGAACCCGGGAGGUGGAGCUUGCAGUGAGCUGAUAUCAUGCCACUGCACUCCCGCCUGUGUAACAGAGCGAGACUCCGUCUCAAACAAACAAACAAAAAAACAAAAAACACUUGAGAGCACCAGGAGCCCAUAAAAGGAGCCAAGACUAUCCCAUCGAAUCUAAGCCCCUCCCCAUCGAAUCUAAGCCCCAUCGAAUCUAAGCACAGUGUCAAGAAGUGCAUCAUUCAAGAAGUCUCCUGCAGAGUGAAGGCCUUUCCAAAAUGAGCAUUAUGUGAAUUCAUUUCAGCAAUGUGAGGAAAAUUGAUUUCUCAACGUGGAAGGAUAGUUUUAACAGUAGCCCUGGGGUGGGGAGUGGGGGAAACUAACUAAAACACUAGGUCUUGGAUACUUAAUCAAAUAAAUCAACUUGGAGGCUCAACUGGAUUCCCCAAGCAAAGAGUGCAUGUGAAGCUUUAUAAAACUUUCCUUCUCUCCCUCAGAGGGACAGUAGCCUGGCAAAAACCUAAAUGUUCCAGGAGCAGGACUCACAGGCAUCUUGCGGUGCGUCCAUUCUCCAGGCGGAGCAAAAGGCAAGCAUGCUCACUUCCCAGAUGGCUGGUUUGGGAAGACAGGGGCUGGCUGCUCCCCAAACCCUUCCCUGAUCACCUGGCCUUGGCCUGGGGAGCUGGGGUGGAGGCUGCUCCUCUGAGAAAUAGAUUUGCCCUUUGGUUACAAAACAUCUCCAAAUGAUUGAUGAACCAGUCUCAGGGAAGAAAGAAAUGUCACUGGCACAUGAAAUACAGCCACCUUGAGAAAAAAUAUUUCACCCUUUCUGGAGGCCCUAAGCCACAGGGACAUUCAUUAGAACGGGAGUGAAAGAGGAUCAGAUUCAGUUGCAGUUGCAGGCAUGUGAGGCAGGCUGACAAAGAAGGCAUGGUCCCAUGUAACAAGAUAAUAAAUUCGCUCACAAUAAUCUGUGACGUUUGUUUUCUCCUUUGGCUAAGUGCCUCUAGUACUGGAUCCAGCCCUCAGCUGGGGCCAUAACUCUUUCUCAGCAGAUGGCGUCCAUUGGCCUUAGGAAUCUGGGUGGAGGCCCUCCAGACUGCAGGUGGAAAUGUCUCAGGCCAUGUUGACCUUGGGCACACUCUGGCUCAGGACAGAAGCCGGUUCAGAGUUAGCCUCUCUUGGGGAAGCUACAAGCUUUGUGACCACAUACUAUUUCACCUCUCCUUGUAUAAAAGGUAGGGAUCAGACUAGGUAUGUUUUCUAAACUAAAAAGAAAAUCCUAAGUGUUCUCACCGACUGAAUGAAUCCCCUUGUGACCAAGGGGGCUCUAGAAAAGCCUUAAAACUGAGUUCCUGGUCAUGACGAGGCAGGAGGUCUGACAUGCCUCAUUAUUCCCCCCUCUCUUUUAUGGUUUAAACACAACUGACCAGCACUCAGGUUAAAAUAGAGACCAUAAGAUUGACAGAACAGACUCUUUGUGACAAUAAGAUACCAAAUUAUACACAAGACCUAAGGCUAUGCCAGGCAAGGGCUAAGUCACACACGCCUUAAAGAAUAAACUGUGGGCCCAGUGGGUGGCUCAUGCCUGUAUUCCCAGCAAUCUGGGAGGUCAAAGUGGAGGGAUCACUUGAGGUCAGGAGUUCGAGACCAGCCUGGGCAACAUGGCAAAAUCCCAUCUCUACAAAGAAUAAAAAAAUUAGCCUUGCAUGGUGGCAUUUGCCUGUAGUCCCAGCUACUCAGGAGGCUGAGACAGGAGGAUCAAUUGAGCCAGGGAGGCCGAGGCUGCAGGGAACCAUGAUUGUGCCAUUGCCCUCCAGUCUGGGUGACAGAGCAAGACUCUGUUACAGAAGAAAAAAAAAAGAGUAUGUUCUAACUGCCAUGAGGUUCCCCCCCAGCCAGCUGCUGAACAAGAACUGGCCUCAAGAUAAGCAAGAUUAAAACAAUUACAGCUCAUCCAGCUCACAGACAGACACUGACUAACUGAUCCUUUGUUCUGCCAG